rnacentral:rRNA from 1 species
CUAGCCUUCUAAAUAGUUCGCCGAUCCCCGCAUGUGUCGGUGCUAACUUCUUAGAGGGACAAGUGGCGUUUAGCCACCACGAGAUUGAGCAAUAAACAGGUCUUGUGAUGCCCCUAAGAUGUCCCGGGGCCGCACCGCGCGCUACACUGAAGGAAUCAGCGUGGAUGCUUCCCUGGCCCGAAAGGGUUGGGAAACCCGUUGAAUCUCCUUCGUGAUAGGGAUUGGGGCUUGAAAUUCUUCCCCAUGAACGAGGAAUUCCCAGUAAGCGCGAGUCAUAAGCUCGCGUUGAUUACGUCCCUGCCCUUUGUACACACCGCCCGUCGCUACUACCGAUUGAACGGUUUAGUGAGGGCCUCGAAUUGGUCUCGGCCCGCCCUUCACCGGGCGGCGCCGCGGGUCGAGAAGACGCUCGAACUUGAUCGUUUAGAGGAAGUAAAAGUCGUAACAAGGUUUCCGUAGGUGAACCUGCGGAAGGAUCAUUAA